rnacentral:rRNA from 1 species
UACGUAGGGUGCAAGCGUUUAAUCGGAAUUACUGGGCGUAAAGCGUGCGCAGGCGGUUCGCUAAGACAGAUGUGAAACUCCCCGGGCUUAACCUGGGAACUGCAUUUGUGACUGGCGGGCUAGAGUAUGGCAGAGGGGGGGUAGAAUUCCACGUGUAGCAGUGAAAUGCGUAGAGAUGUGGAGGAAUACCGAUGGCGAAGGCAGCCCCCCUGGGCCAAUACUGACGCUCAUGCACGAAAGCGUGGGGAGCAAACAGG